GGGGGCGUAGCUCAGAUGGUAGAGCGCUCGCUUAGCAUGCGGGAGGCACCGGGAUCGACGCCCGGCGCCUCCA
rnacentral:tRNA from 1 species